rnacentral:ncRNA from 2 species
UGUGAUCGGGACGAAAGCCGCAAACAGGCCACUGACCGCCUUGGGCGGAUGGAAAGGCGCGGCAAGUAGGACGAACGUAAGCCAGGAGACCCGGACAAGGCCGAACACUCCA